UUGCUUGCUCCUAUGUCAAAAGCAUUCCUCGCAUCCUAAAGUUUAAAAAAUUUAAAUUGAAAAUUAUCGGAUUAAUCAUGCCCUAAUUCUAGCUCCUUUAGAUAUUUUAUCCUUGGUUCUGUAUUCUAUACCCUUAUCUCCACUUCUCAAGUUGAUGCCUCUUAUGUUAGACACGAAUCACGCUUCACAAGCUCAUAGUUGACAACAACACCAUCACCGGCGCCGGACCAUCCAAACGCAAUGUACCAGACCAUACCAUCAUAACAGAAGGUGCAAAUAUCAUCCUUCUCUCAAAUGCUCGAUCGUCUCUCAAGUUUUCUUAUUUAAAUUAGUCUUUUUGUAAUCUUCUUUACUCUUCUCUACACUCAUCUCUAUUUUUUUCUUAAAUUGGUAUGUUUGGAAUGAAUUACAAAGGUUGCUAAGGAAUGAAACUGAAAUUAGGAUGUAGAAGCUAUGCUCAAGGAAAGUGCAUAUAAAGUGUUUGUAGAAAUGCAGAAGAGAGAACAGAGGGAAUACCAUAUAGACACAUAUCGUGAAACAACUACCAAAAACUAUGUUGAUGCGGGAGUUUUGGAAAGGAGAUACUACUAGUAUGUUGUACUUGGGUGUUUGAUUCUUCAAAUCAACUAUAUAUCGGCGGUAAAUGGUUGUAAUUUACUUAUUUUUAGAUUAAUUUGACUAUAGCCUACUAGUUUUAGAUUAUAAUGCCUAUAAUACUUAUUUUUAGAUUAUCAUUUUAUAAUUGCUAGAAUAGUUAAGGUAUCACAAAACUUGUUUUGUUUGGUAGACUUUCUUACAAGUCUAAGUGACUCUACAAACAUACAAGGGACCGAAGGCGAUUAUUGAAGACGUUUGUAUUUUAAAUAUAUUGAGAAUAUUAUUUUUAGACUUAUUUAAGUUUUUUGAAGAUGUUUGUAUUUUAAAUAUAUUGCGAAUAUUAUUUUUUGACAAGUUUGAAUUAAUGUGAUGAUAUUGUGUUUC